GGGUUGUGAGGUUAAGCGACUAAGCGUACACGGUGGAUGCCCUGGCAGUCAGAGGCGAUGAAGGACGUGCUAAUCUGCGAAAAGCGUCGGUAAGGUGAUAUGAACCGUUAUAACCGGCGAUGUCCGAAUGGGGAAACCCAGUGUGAUUCGUCACACUAUCGUUAACUGAAUACAUAGGUUAACGAGGCGAACCGGGGGAACUGAAACAUCUAAGUACCCCGAGGAAAAGAAAUCAACCGAGAUUCCCCCAGUAGCGGCGAGCGAACGGGGAGCAGCCCAGAGUCUGAAUCAGCUUGUGUGUUAGUGGAACGGUCUGGAAAGUCCGACGGUACAGGGUGAUAGUCCCGUACACCAAAAUGCACAGGUUGUGAACUCGAAGAGUAGGGCGGGACACGUGGUAUCCUGUCUGAAUAUGGGGGGACCAUCCUCCAAGGCUAAAUACUCCUGACUGACCGAUAGUGAACCAGUACCGUGAGGGAAAGGCGAAAAGAACCCCGGCGAGGGGAGUGAAAAAGAACCUGAAACCGUGUACGUACAAGCAGUGGGAGCACCUUCGGGUGUGACUGCGUACCUUUUGUAUAAUGGGUCAGCGACUUAUAUUCUGUAGCAAGGUUAACCGUAUAGGGGAGCCGCAGGGAAACCGAGUCUUAACUGGGCGUUAAGUUGCAGGGUAUAGACCCGAAACCCGGUGAUCUAGCCAUGGGCAGGUUGAAGGUUGGGUAACACUAACUGGAGGACCGAACCGACUAAUGUUGAAAAAUUAGCGGAUGACUUGUGGCUGGGGGUGAAAGGCCAAUCAAACCGGGAGAUAGCUGGUUCUCCCCGAAAGCUAUUUAGGUAGCGCCUCGUGAAUUCAUCUUCGGGGGUAGAGCACUGUUUCGGCUAGGGGGUCAUCCCGACUUACCAACCCGAUGCAAACUACGAAUACCGAAGAAUGUUAUCACGGGAGACACACGGCGGGUGCUAACGUCCGUCGUGAAGAGGGAAACAACCCAGACCGCCAGCUAAGGUCCCAAAGUCAUGGUUAAGUGGGAAACGAUGUGGGAAGGCACAGACAGCCAGGAUGUUGGCUUAGAAGCAGCCAUCAUUUAAAGAAAGCGUAAUAGCUCACUGGUCGAGUCGGCCUGCGCGGAAGAUGUAACGGGGCUAAACCAUGCACCGAAGCUGCGGCAGCGACACUAUGUGUUGUUGGGUAGGGGAGCGUUCUGUAAGCCUGCGAAGGUGUGCUGUGAGGCAUGCUGGAGGUAUCAGAAGUGCGAAUGCUGACAUAAGUAACGAUAAAGCGGGUGAAAAGCCCGCUCGCCGGAAGACCAAGGGUUCCUGUCCAACGUUAAUCGGGGCAGGGUGAGUCGACCCCUAAGGCGAGGCCGAAAGGCGUAGUCGAUGGGAAACAGGUUAAUAUUCCUGUACUUGGUGUUACUGCGAAGGGGGGACGGAGAAGGCUAUGUUAGCCGGGCGACGGUUGUCCCGGUUUAAGCAUGUAGGCUGGUUGUCCAGGCAAAUCCGGAUAAUCAAGGCUGAGGUGUGAUGACGAGGCACUACGGUGCUGAAGUAACAAAUGCCCUGCUUCCAGGAAAAGCCUCUAAGCAUCAGGUAACAUCAAAUCGUACCCCAAACCGACACAGGUGGUCAGGUAGAGAAUACCAAGGCGCUUGAGAGAACUCGGGUGAAGGAACUAGGCAAAAUGGUGCCGUAACUUCGGGAGAAGGCACGCUGGUGUGUAGGUGAAGUCCCUGCGGAUGGAGCUGAGACCAGUCGAAGAUACCAGCUGGCUGCAACUGUUUAUUAAAAACACAGCACUGUGCAAACACGAAAGUGGACGUAUACGGUGUGACGCCUGCCCGGUGCCGGAAGGUUAAUUGAUGGGGUUAUCCGUAAGGAGAAGCUCUUGAUCGAAGCCCCGGUAAACGGCGGCCGUAACUAUAACGGUCCUAAGGUAGCGAAAUUCCUUGUCGGGUAAGUUCCGACCUGCACGAAUGGCGUAAUGAUGGCCAGGCUGUCUCCACCCGAGACUCAGUGAAAUUGAACUCGCUGUGAAGAUGCAGUGUACCCGCGGCAAGACGGAAAGACCCCGUGAACCUUUACUAUAGCUUGACACUGAACAUUGAGCCUUGAUGUGUAGGAUAGGUGGGAGGCUUUGAAGCGUGGACGCCAGUCUGCGUGGAGCCAACCUUGAAAUACCACCCUUUAAUGUUUGAUGUUCUAACGUUGGCCCCUGACCGGGGUUGCGGACAGUGUCUGGUGGGUAGUUUGACUGGGGCGGUCUCCUCCCAAAGCGUAACGGAGGAGCACGAAGGUUAGCUAAUCCUGGUCGGACAUCAGGAGGUUAGUGCAAUGGCAUAAGCUAGCUUGACUGCGAGCGUGACGGCGCGAGCAGGUGCGAAAGCAGGUCAUAGUGAUCCGGUGGUUCUGAAUGGAAGGGCCAUCGCUCAACGGAUAAAAGGUACUCCGGGGAUAACAGGCUGAUACCGCCCAAGAGUUCAUAUCGACGGCGGUGUUUGGCACCUCGAUGUCGGCUCAUCACAUCCUGGGGCUGAAGUAGGUCCCAAGGGUAUGGCUGUUCGCCAUUUAAAGUGGUACGCGAGCUGGGUUUAGAACGUCGUGAGACAGUUCGGUCCCUAUCUGCCGUGGGCGCUGGAGAAUUGAGGGGGGCUGCUCCUAGUACGAGAGGACCGGAGUGGACGCAUCACUGGUGUUCGGGUUGUCAUGCCAAUGGCACUGCCCGGUAGCUAAAUGCGGAAGAGAUAAGUGCUGAAAGCAUCUAAGCACGAAACUUGCCCCGAGAUGAGUUCUCCCUGAGACUUUAAGUCUCCUGAAGGAACGUUAAAGACGAUGACGUUGAUAGGCCGGGUGUGUAAGCGCAGCGAUGCGUUGAGCUAACCGGUACUAAUGAACCGUGAGGCUUAACCUUACAACGCCGAAG
rnacentral:rRNA from 1 species